UUUUUUUUUUUUUUUUUUUUUUGUCUUUUGUCUUUUUAGGGCUGUACCCUCAGCAUAUAAAGGUUCCCAGACUAGGAGUCAAAUCAGAGCUGUAGCUGCUGGCCUACACCACAGCCACAGCAAAGCAGGAUCCAAGCUGCUUCUGGCAACACCAGAUCCUUUACCUACUGAGCGAGGCCAGAGGUCAAACCCAUGUCCUCACAGAUACUAGUCAGGUUUGUUAACCACUGAGCCACAAUCGGAACUCCUGAUUUUUUUUUUUUUUUGAAAUGACAGCAUUGUGUCCUCUAAAGACAUAAAUCUCCUAGACCCUAUGAUUAUCAUUUCCUCAGCUGGUAAAAAGUGCAGGACAUCAUCCCACCUUAGCAUUUAUUUAUGGAAAAGCAGCAACUAAAGUUCAAAGAAAAAUAGCUGGAGAAUCUAAGCAUGACAAGAGGAAAACAGGCGAGGAGAACCCUAAUGGGCAGUAAGAGGGAGGAAGCCACAUCCCUUUGAAGGAUAAAGAGUUAGCACCAUUAAUCAUUAAACACUAAACCAAUUAGAAAGGAUGUAUCAGAAAGAAAAAGAAACAAACGUGAAAGGUCUCAUUUGUAGUUUACCGUAGGUAGCCCAGUACAAUUUCGUCUUAUGAACAGAAAAUUCAAAAUGUGCCCUCAGAUUCUGAAAUAAGAUAUCCUCUCAAGCUCCGAGUUUAUAAACACAGAAGGGGGCAUAGAUGAAUUCACACUGCAAUAUGAGAACAAAUUUAACUUCUAAUAGAAACAUGGUUCACGAUGGAGUAAGUCAGAAAUCUCAAUGUUUAUCUCCACAUGCAUUUAUUCCUGGCAAUACAUUGGAGUUUUCUGUAGAGUGUUUAUCUAACUUGGCUUUCUUCUGAUGGACCUUCUGGCAUGCAACAUAAGCUCGUCAUAUACACAGCCCAUAUGCAGAGGUAAUCACUUUCUCCCUGUACAGAAACUCCAAGAAUAAUUAUGAGGGAAAAGGAAGGAGCUAACAUAUGUCGGGGAUCUAUUAAGAGAUGGAUACUGUAUAAAGCACUUAACAGAUAUUUCACCAUUUAAAUCUGUGAACACAGUGAGUACUACUGAAUUCUAGAGAUUUAAAAAAAAAAAUUAGCUGGAGAGAUACCUAUACUGAACGAUCCCCUAGCUACGGGAUUUAAACCGAGAUUUGCUUUUUUUUUUUUUUGUCUUUUUCCCAUUUUCUUGGGCCGCUCCCAUGGCAUAUGGAAGUUCCCAGCUCUAAAAGGCAAAAAAAAAAAAAAAAAAAAGUCACUGAAUAGUUUCAGGCAAAAAAAUAAAUUGAUCUAAUCAAAGUUUUAAAAACAUAACACUUAACAAACCAACUGCAAAAAUCACUUGAGAAAAGCAACUGGAAACUCUGAAUAUGGAUGAGCAGAAAAUGAUACCAAAGAGUUGUUUCCAAUUUUGUGACAUAUGAGAAUGGUACUGUGGUGACACAAGUGAAUUCUUCCUUCGAGAUCCACACGGAGGCAUGAGGACUAAGAUAAAAUGACAGGAUGCCAAGGAUUUGUUUUAUUUCAUUCCCCUCAAAAUGCGAGAAAGUGAUCAAGUAUGGACAAAUGUUAAUUACUGCUGAAUCUAGCUGAUUGGCUACAAUGGCAUUCUUUAUAUUCUCUUGAUGUUUGUGAAUGUUUGCAAACUGCAUAAUACAAAGUUAAGAGAAAAAAAAAAAAGAAGUCUUUCAAUCUCAAGAAACACAACCCAUUGAACAUGGAAUUCAACUACUUUAAUCCAUAAGUAUCCACUCUCUAAUAUCAGAAAUAAAAACUUAGAGGUUUUAAAAACAUAGAUUUUGGAAAUAUGAUGGAAUUAAAAAAACCUAUUAGUAAUGAGGCUCAAAAACACCUGUCUUCCAACAGACACAAAGUAGAGACCUACUUGUUAGUCAGAACACUGGGUAAGAAUUAGGGGAACAAAUCUAUUAAUUAAUUAAGACACUGAGGAUCUUACCUCAUGUCUUUAAUGAAAACUACAGGAAAUCACUUGAUGAGAUCAAAAUACAUUCAUUUCCUUGGCUUAAAACCAAGAUAGCCACUCAGCAAACGAGGCAGAAUGAAAUACCUUGUAAAACACAGAUGGCAGAUUCCUUCCUUAGUGGAAUGGCAGGUGUGAGAUCCAAAUUCCUUAGAAAUUCUCAGACAACUUUUCUGGUCUCCAAUACCAGCCCUGGGUUUGAGAGAGGCCAAACCACCCAUUCAUGGAUUGAACCAGUGACCCAUUCAAAAGGAAAAGAAAGCUUUUAAUCCAGAUUCUACCCACAGUAACUGGGUGAACCACCCUUGAAGUCGUGCAAAAGAGUUUGAAAAACAGAAAGCAGCCCCGAAGAGUGGCAAUUUUUUGGAGUUUUCUCGUGGCAUAGUGGGUUAAGGAUCUGGUGCUAUCACUGCAGUGGCUCAGAUCGCUGCUGUGGUGCAGGUCUGAUCCCUGGCAUGGGAACUUCCACAUGCUGCAAGGUGGCCAAAAAAAAAAAAAAAAAAAAA
rnacentral:lncRNA from 1 species